rnacentral:rRNA from 1 species
GAUCCUGGCUCAGAUUGAACGCUGGCGGCAUGCCUUACACAUGCAAGUCGAACGGCAGCACGGACUUCGGUCUGGUGGCGAGUGGCGAACGGGUGAGUAAUACAUCGGAACGUGCCUGGUAGUGGGGGAUAACUACUCGAAAGAGUGGCUAAUACCUCAUGAGAUCUGCGGAUGAAAGCAGGGGAUCGCAAGACCUUGUGCUACUAGAGCGGCCGAUGGCAGAUUAGG